rnacentral:rRNA from 1 species
CUACGGGCGGCACCAGUGAGGAAUAUUGCACAAUGGGGGGAACCCUGAUGCAGCAACGCCGCGUGGAGGAUGACGCAUUUCGGUGUGUAAACUCCUUUUAUAUGUCAAGAAAAUGACGGUAGCAUAUGAAUAAGCACCGGCUCACUCCGUGCUAGCAGCCGCGGUAAUACGGAGGGUGCAAGCGUUACUCGGAAUCACUGGGCGUAAAGGACGCGUAGGCGGGUUGGAAAGUCAGGUGUGAAAUCCUACAGCUUAACUGUAGAACUGCACUUGAAACUUCUAAUCUAGAGUAUGGGAGGGGGAGAUGGAAUUAGUGGUGUAGGGGUAAAAUCCGUAGAUAUCACUAGGAAUACCUAAAGCGAAGGCGAUCUCCUGGAACAUUACUGACGCUAAGGCGUGAAAGCGUGGGGAGCAAACAGGAUUAGAUACCCUCGUAGUC